AAACCUGUGAAAAUUCUUGCUUAAUUUUAUAUUUCUAGUAUCAUAACUAAGUAGAAUUUCUACUUAGUCCUUCUCCAAUACUUCUACUUUAAUAAGAUUUAUAAUUUGAGGCAUUGCAGGUCUCAUUGAAGGUAAGCAUGGUCUCUGUCAACCCUUUGCCGCACAACAAGCAAACAUCCUUAAUCAGGGGUCUGGACACACUAUAGCUCAGCACCCAAAAUUUAAGGUGAGAGUGCCCAAGCAAACAAUUUAGGAACACUGAGAGGUUGGGGCUAGGAGCUGCUCAAGUCAAAACAGGAGACCAAAGCAGCAGGAAAUUGGAGACGACAGUAGACAGAAUGGCAUGGAGCUAGUUUUAGAAAUGUAGGCAUUUGGAAGAAGUAGGAUUACCAAGGAUGGAUUUCUAUAGCAACAAAUCUUGCAGUAGCAACAGAACUUCUAUUCUGUGCUAAAAUAAAAUAUGAUGAUAAAAUGUUUGUAUACUUAAAAUUAUUACCAGUAUCAACCUGUAGAAAGAAAUUUAGAAAUGUGUGAAAUCCAAAACUGGAAAAUGUUACUGUUCAAGUUAAACAGUAGUUAAGAGAGCUAAAGAGAUAACUAGAGAAUUGGAAGAUAUAUCUAAAAACUCAAUCUCAGAAAGAUAAAGAGAUGGGAAUAUAAAAUGGAGAUUAAGAAAUCUGAAAGGUGGAAUAGAAAUCCAGGAGAAAAGAAUCUUUAGACAAUAUGUUGGCGAAUUUCUCCAAAAUUAUGAAAAAUGUCCAAAUACGGUAUUUUCCAAACAGAAUAAUUACAAACAAAUUUAUGCAUAGAAUCAUUGUAGUGAAAUUAGACUCCCAAAGACAACAUUUUGAAAUUACUCAAGAGAAAAAAAAGCUAAUUGUUUAUAAAGGGAAAAUUAAUAGCUAACUUCUCAACAGCGACAAUGCAAGCAGCAGAAGAUUAUCUUAAACAUAUUAGAAAGUAAAUAUCAAUCUAGAAUUAUGUAGAAAUCAAGAUUGCUCCUUAAGAAUGAGAGCAAAUAAUAUUUAUUAAGGAAGAUCUACUGUUGUGAAUGUUACUGUAGUGAAUUUAUAAAGAAUGUGCUUCAGGAAGAAGGUAAAUAAAUAAUCCCAGGAGGACAAUAGAUUUUUUUAAAAGUUUAUAAAUAUAAAAUGAUAAAUACCUAAGAAAAUUUAAGUAAAUAAAGGGAUUGUUGGGUUUUGUUUAAAGUCUACAUGUUCUAAACAGCAGUUAAAAAAAUAGGAUUAGAUCUAAAGCAGUCUGUAGAUUUUAUUGUUGGUAUGUCAAGGUGACAGUAUUAGGCUUAUUUACGCAUAUUAAUUGUAAACUAAAAACAAAUAAUUUCAAAUAAAUCACAAUAAAUGUAACUAGAGCAAACUCAUUAGUUUAAAAGCAGCAUUUAUCAGAUUAGAUUUUAGAAAUUGAUACGAAAAACACUCAACCUAAAGCUGUAUAUAGUAACACCACCUAACAUCAAGCAAAAUAGGUUUUAGACCCACCACAAGAAAAUAAAUAUCACCAAGAGUGGUGGAUUUCUACAUAGUGAAUAAAUAUUAGAUUCACCAAAAAUGUAAUUCUAAGUGUGUGGGUACCUAAUUAAAUAAGUCUCUAAAUAUAUGAAGCAAGGAUUUUUGGAGAUAUUGAAGAAAUUAACAAAUAUUUACCAUAGUAGAAUAUUUCAAUUCAGUUUCAUUUUUGAUAGGUUUAAAUUUUUUAGUUUGUUUUUACAGUGCUAGAGGUUGAACCCAGGGCCUCGCACAUAUUAGGCAAGUACUUACUUGUCCACUGAACUACAUGCCCAGCCCCUCAUUAGCCCUUUUGAAAUCAAUAAAUAUAUAGAAUAUUUGAACAAAACAGUAAGCUUGAUCCAGUAGAUAUAUAUGAAUUCUAUAUCCAGUAAUUAAAAGAAUUCCACAUUUUUUACAAGCACACAUAGAACACUUAUAAAAAUUAAGCCAUAAGACAAAUUACAAAAUAUAAUUAAAUUACAUUGUCUAAGUGGUUAGAAAAAAAGAUUUGUGUGUGUGUUUGUGUGUGCGCGCGCGUAUGUGUAUGUAUGUAUAAAUACAUAUAUAUGUAUAGUUUUUAUAUUUGAAAUGUUUGAAAAAAUGGGGAGCUGGGUGGAAGCUCAAUGGUAGAGCACUUGCCUGGCAUGUGUGAGGCACUGGGUUCAAUUCUAAGCAAUGCUUAAAGAUAAUAAAGUCCAUUGACAACUAAAAAAAAAAAUAGUGAUGAAUCAAAGGAAGAAAUCAU
rnacentral:lncRNA from 1 species